rnacentral:rRNA from 1 species
UACGAAGGGGGCUAGCGUUGCUCGGAAUUACUGGGCGUAAAGCGCACGUAGGCGGACUGGAAAGUCAGAGGUGAAAUCCCAGGGCUCAACCUUGGAACUGCCUUUGAAACUCCCGGUCUUGAGGUCGAGAGAGGUGAGUGGAAUUCCGAGUGUAGAGGUGAAAUUCGUAGAUAUUCGGAGGAACACCAGUGGCGAAGGCGGCUCACUGGCUCGAUACUGACGCUGAGGUGCGAAAGCGUGGGGAGCAAACAGG